GUUCUGGUCUCAAGUCCUUGGCUCUGAUGUUCUGGUCUCCAAGUCCUCGGCUCAGAUGCUCCGUUCUGGUCUCAGGUCUUCGACUCCAGAGUUCCUCCCGACCCUUGGAAAGAUGGCUGCAAGGCAGAGAAAGUGUAAAGACAGCCACGAGAACAAGGAAGGUUAUUUCUCCGAAUCUGAAGCAUCCAGCUGCACAGGAUUGGACUAUGAACCAAAUCCUAGUUCGUCAUCUAGUCAAGAGGAGGAUUCAAGCCCAAUGUAUCAAUUAAAAAGCGUUCAGAAGAUCAUCAUGAAGAUCCAGACACCAGCCUGGAUGAAGAUCAUCCCUGAAGAGACGAGUGCAAAAAUCCCAGAAUGUAUGUAAAAACAACCACAUGGACUUGGCAUCAUAUAAGACAUUAAAUGAGACUGUUCUUGCAAAGCUCAUUAUUUUCAAUAAGUGACGUGAGGGAGAGGCAUCACGCUUGACAUUGGACACAUACAGAAGAGC